rnacentral:rRNA from 1 species
AGCAGCCGCGGUAAUUCCAGCUCCAAUAGCGUAUAUUAAAGUUGUUGCAGUUAAAAAGCUCGUAGUUGAAUUUCGGGAUCUGUCCGUUGGUCGGGCCUCACGGUCCGCACUGAUGCGAUGGAUUCCUACCUUCUGAAUAACCGGUAUGCCAUUAAUUUGAUGUGCCGGGGAAGCAGAACCAUUACCUUGAAAAAAUUAGAGUGCUCAAAGCAGGCUUGUGCCUGAAUACAUUAGCAUGGAAUAAUAAAAUAGGACGGCAUGGUUCUAUUUUGUUGGUUUCUAGGAUCACCGUAAUGAUUAAUAGGGAUAGUUGGGGGCAUUAGUAUUCAAUUGUCAGAGGUGAAAUUCUUGGAUUUAUUGAAGACUAACUUCUGCGAAAGCAUUUGCCAAGGAUGUUUUCAUUAAUCAAGAACGAAAGUUAGGGGAUCGAAGACGAUCAGAUACCGUCGUAGUCUUAACCAUAAACUAUGCCGACUAGGGAUCGGACGAUGUUAAUUUUAUAAUGACUCGUUCGGCGCCUUACG